AAUCAACGCUGGCGGCGUGCCUCAGACAUGCAAGUCGAACGCGAAAGUUCCCUUCGGGGAGCGAGUAGAGUGGCGCACGGGUGAGUAACACGUAGGUAAUCUACCUUUGGAUGGGGAAUAACAACCGGAAACGGUUGCUAAUACCGCAUAAUGCAGCGGCACCUAAUGGUGACAGUUGUUAAAGCGGGGGAUCGCAAGACCUCGCGUCUAAAGAGGAGCCUGCGGCAGAUUAGCUAGUUGGUAAGGUAACGGCUUACCAAGGCGAUGAUCUGUAGCCGGCCUGAGAGGGCGGUCGGCCACACUGACACUGACAUACGGGUCAGACUCCUACGGGAGGCAGCAGUCGGGAAUUUUGGGCAAUGGGCGAAAGCCUGACCCAGCAACGCCGCGUGAAGGAUGAAGUCCCUCGGGAUGUAAACUUCGCAAGAACGGGAAGAAUAAGUAAGAGUUAAUAUCUCUUACGAUGACGGUACUGUUUGUAAGCUCCGGCUAACUCCGUGC
rnacentral:rRNA from 1 species